CUGAAAUUAUCACUGCAAGUUCCUUUGAUGAUUUCAUGAAGAGAUAUGAUACAAAUAGGCGAUUAAUGCCUUUAAGGCUGUUCGCCAUUUUACCAUAACACCUUAAAUAGAGGCACAUUUCAUUUUGAAAUGCGGUCCACAGUGGAGAAGGGGUUCACGGGCGCAGAACGUCACGCAACCCCCCCUUGAACGGACCAUCGGCGAGGAUUUGACCACGACGGUGAAGGCGGGGAGGCACGGGUGCGGAUGGUCGCGGUCAACGGGGGGGACGGAGUUGGAGGGGCACGGGCGCACGGUCAAAUCCUCGGCGAUGGUCCGGUCAAGGGGGAUUGCGCAACGUUCCGCGCCCGUGAACCACCCCCCCGCAUGACUUCAACGUGGACAAAAUCUCACAGAAGAAGCCAGACCGGAAGAAAGUUGUAUGCGUAGUAAAUCAACAGGAUAUGCCCUGUACUACCUUCUCUAAGAUUCCGAGCAGUCAGGAUUUUCAUCCUGUUCCUCAUCAUUUCCAUGGAGUAAGUGGUCUCCAUCUGAAACAUCAGAUGUGCUCUGAGGAUAAAAUUCCUGUGUUGUGGGACUGCUGUUCUGUGGAUUAUGAGGAGAGCACUCCUGUGGGAAACUCAUCGGACUCUUCAUCAGUGUCCGUUUGCUGGGUAUAGACAGAACGUCACAUGGCAGCAACAGAUUUCUGUGAAGGACUUUUGUCCUACUUCCACUCUCAGACUGGACCUCAAACACUGGGCUGCCCUCCCCUUUACGUCAUCUGAUGAUAUACGAUCUGAGUUUUCCCGGCCUUCCUCUUUCUGUUCCUCACCAGAACUCUGCUGCCCACUUGUAAAUUUGGACCAGAGUCUUUUGUUAUAUUAUUUUUUCCUCUGUCGGCUGACUUGCCUGCAUGUCUGGAUUUUUCCAGGAAACUCAAAUUUCAUGGCAAAAUCUUUGAAUAGUUUGUCAGCCACAGUUUUGGCUGAUUUGUUUGUUGUUGCAUAAGCCUGGGAAAAGUUUGUGUAAUGGUCUAUAACCACCAGAAUAUAUUCAUAUCCCCCUUUCGAUUUUUCCAAGUUUAAAAAUUCCACUG
ensembl:lncRNA